AAUUAAAAAUUUUAUUUAUUUUUAUUGUUAAAAAUUGACUCUAUAUAUCAACUUAAGGUACAAGUGACAUGCCACAUGCCACUGUUUAUUUAUUCUGUCAUUCAUACCAGUUUUUAACAGUAAAAAUAGAUGAAAUCUUUUUACUA
rfam:Gossypium arboreum cultivar AKA8401 contig_38292_1, whole genome shotgun sequence.